GGCGCUAUAGUGUAGUGGUUAUCACUCAGGAUUCUGAUAUCCAAAAUUCCUGGAACCCAGGUUCGAGCCCUGGUAGCGCCU
rnacentral:tRNA from 1 species